rnacentral:rRNA from 1 species
AUUGAACGCUGGCGGCAGGCCUAACACAUGCAAGUCGAGCGGAGCGGCGGACGGGUGCGUAAUGCCUAGGAAUAUGCAUGGUGGUGGGGGAUAACGUCCGGAAAAGGGAGCUAAUAGCGCAUACUAUCAGAUGAGAUUUGGGCUGAUUAGCUAGUUGGUGGGGUAAAGGCCUACCAUGGCGACGGUCCGAAACUGGUCUGAGAGGAUGAUCAGUCACACUGGAACUGAGACACGGUCCAGACUCCUACGGGAGGCAGCAGUGGGGAAUAUUGGACAAUUGGCGAAAGCCUGAUCCAGCCAUGCCGCGUGUGUGAAGAAGGUCUUCGGAUUGUAAAGCACUUUAAGUUGGGAGGCGUUACCAACAGAAUAAGCACCGGCUAACUUCGUGCCAGCAGCCGCGGUAAUAC